rnacentral:rRNA from 1 species
AGUCUAAGUACCUUCCACGACGGGCAUAGCAAUAUGUCCCCGCAGACGGGUGAGUAACGCCGUGGGAACUACUUUUGGUUCGGAACAACUGAGGGAAACUUCAGCUAAUACCGGAUAAGCCCUUACGGGGAAAGAUUUAUCGCCGAAAGAUCGGCCCGCGUCUGAUUAGCUAGUUGGUGAGGUAAUGGCUCACCAAGGCGACGAUCAGUAGCUGGUCUGAGAGGAUGAUCAGCCACAUUGGGACUGAGACACGGCCCAAACUCCUACGGGAGGCAGCAGUGGGGAAUAUUGGACAAUGGGCGCAAGCCUGAUCCAGCCAUGCCGCGUGAGUGAUGAAGGCCCUAGGGUUGUAAAGCUCUUUUGUGCGGGAAGAUAAUGACGGUACCGCAAGAAUAAGCCCCGGCUAACUUCGUGCCAGCAGCCGCGGUAAUACGAAGGGGGCUAGCGUUGCUCGGAAUCACUGGGCGUAAAGGGUGCGUAGGCGGGUCUUUAAGUCAGGGGUGAAAUCCUGGAGCUCAACUCCAGAACUGCCUUUGAUACUGAAGAUCUUGAGUUCGGGAGAGGUGAGUGGAACUGCGAGUGUAGAGGUGAAAUUCGUAGAUAUUCGCAAGAACACCAGUGGGCGAAGGCGGCUCACUGGCCCGAUACUGACCUGAGGCACNAAAGCGUGGGGACAAACAGGAUUAAAUACCCUGGGUACCACCCGAAACNAUGAAUGCCCACCCGUAGUGGGGUUUACCCUAAUGGCCCAGCUAACGCUUUAAAU